GACGAACGCUGGCGGCGUGCUUAACACAUGCAAGUCGAACGGAAAGGCCCUGCUUUUGUGGGGUGCUCGAGUGGCGAACGGGUGAGUAACACGUGAGUAACCUGCCCUUGACUUUGGGAUAACUUCAGGAAACUGGGGCUAAUACCGGAUAGGAGCUCCUGCUGCAUGGUGGGGGUUGGAAAGUUUCGGCGGUUGGGGAUGGACUCGCGGCUUAUCAGCUUGUUGGUGGGGUAGUGGCUUACCAAGGCUUUGACGGGUAGCCGGCCUGAGAGGGUGACCGGCCACAUUGGGACUGAGAGACGGCGCAGACGCCAACGGGAGGCAGCAGUGGGGAAUAUUGCACAAUGGGCGGAAGCGUGAUGCAGCAACGCCGCGUGCGGGAUGACGGCCUUCGGGUUGUAAACCGAAUUAGCCUGUGACGAAGCGUGAGUGACGGUAAUGGGUAAAGAAGCACCGGCUAACUACGUG
rnacentral:rRNA from 1 species